UUUUUGAUUUUAAUUUAAAGUCUAAUCUGCCCACUGAUUAAUAAAAUUUAUAAUUAAAGGGCUGCAGUAAUUUGACUGUACAAAGGUAGCAUAAUCAUUAGUCUCUUAAUUGGUGACUUGUAUGAAAGAUUGGAUGAAAUAUAAACUGUCUCUAAUUAAUAUGUAGAAUUUAAUUUUUUAGUGAAAAAGCUAAAAUAAGUUUAAAAGACGAGAAGACCCUAUAGAGUUUUAUAUUAAAUUUAAUUAUUACUUAUUUAUAAAUUUUUAAUUAAAGAUUAAAUAAAAUAUUUUAUUGGGGUGAUAAAAAAAUUUAAUUAACUUUUUUUAAAAUAUAUACAUAAAUAAAUGAUUAUUUGAUCCAUUUUUAAUGAUUAAAAGAAAAAAUUACCUUAGGGAUAACAGCGUAAUUUUUUUUUUUAGUUCAAAUAGGAAAAAAAGUUUGCGACCUCGAUGUUGGAUUAAGAUAAAAUUUGAAUGUAAAAGUUUAAAAUUUUGAUCUGUUCGAUCAUUAAAAUCUUACA
rnacentral:rRNA from 1 species